GAUGAACGCUGGCGGCGUGCCUAAUACAUGCAAGUCGAGCGCUAUAGCAAUACAGAGCGGCGCACGGGUGAGUAACACGUGGGAACGUGCCCUUUGGUUCGGAAUAACUCAGGGAAACUUGAGCUAAUACCGGAUGAGCCCUAACGGGGAAAGAUUUAUCGCCGAAGGAGCGGCCCGCGUCGGAUUAGCUAGUUGGUGGGGUAAUAGCCUACCAAGGCAACGAUCCGUAGCUGGUUUGAGAGAACGACCAGCCACACUGGGACUGAGACACGGCCCAGACUCCUACGGGAGGCAGCAGUGGGGAAUCUUGGACAAUGGGGGAAACCUUGAUCCAGCCAUGCCGCGUGAGUGAUGAAGGCCCUAGGGUUGUAAAACUCUUUCGGCGGGGACGAUAAUGACGGUACCCGCAGAAGAAGCUCCGGCUAACUUCGUGCCAGCCGCCGCAGUAAGAC
rnacentral:rRNA from 1 species